rnacentral:lncRNA from 1 species
CCCGAGUGCCUCAAAGUCUUGGUGGGCCCAGACCGUCACUCCAGAGCCGGCUCUUCGCGGCCCGGAGCCCAGUGAAGGCCGCGGGGCGCCGGGACCGCUCGGUCCCCGGGACCUUCGCGCUGGGAACCGUUUCCGGGGCGGAUGCUUUUUACAGCUGAUCCGGCGCGGCCUGUGACGCGAAGGCCCAGGCGGAAGUGCAGGCGGAGGGUCCGAGUCGGUUCCCGGACUGGGAGCAGGUCUCGGGGCUCCGGGCUGGGGGCCGGCUGGGCUCCCGCGAUGGCAACCCUGUGCGGAGGCCUCCUCCGCCUUGGCUCAGUGCUCAGCCUGUCCUGCCUGGCGCUCUCCGCGCUGGUGCAGCUGACAGACGCCGCCAAGAAUUUUGAAGAUGUCCGAUGUAAAUGUAUCUGUCCUCCCUAUAAGGAGAAUCCUGGCCAUAUUUAUAAUAAGAACAUAUCCCAAAAAGAUUGGUAAGUAUUCUGGAUCACCGAAUUACUUGUCGGAAUUUUUCUAUAGCUAUCAUUGUUAGUCUAAAAUGUUCAUCCAAUAUAUCAUUUUCUUUUUAAGUAUUUCUUUUUACCAUCCUAUUUUCAUUUGGAAAAAAUGAGAAUAAGGCCCUGAGUACAUGAUAUAAUCCUAAAGGAACUAUAGCCUAACUACUGAACCCCCAUAGCUACCUUCCUGUGUCCCCUUACGUUUUGGUGAGGGACCUUUCCCCCUUUUGCUUUUCAGUGAACAGUAAACAACCUUCUUUUAUCUGGGUCAUAAUUUUUCUAACUUGUAGGUUAUGAUAAUUGCCAAGUAUGGCAGGCUAUGUUUACAAGGGUCAGGUAGCUUAGGAAUGAACAGGAAUGAGCUAUAUACGUCAUACUUACCCAUUGGUAUGUGUACCCGUAUUAUAGACAGCCAAGAUAGAGAGUGAGCAGUUUUGACAAUCUGGCAGGCCUAUAAUGACUGGAAUCCACCAGCAGCCUUCUUUAUCCCCGAAGACCUGACAAAUGGUAGCUUGUUCUAUAUGUGCCAUGGAACAUUUGGGAAGCAGUUGUGGUAUAGCAGGUUGGAUGUGCUUCUUGCUAUGGAACUGUAAUAUUUUAUGGUUUGUAAUCACAGUGGAAGAUUGGUGGGAUAGGAAUCAAAGGAAAAUGGCUCCAAAUGCUAGGUACUUUCAUUUACCUAGUUUCAGAGCUCAAUAACCAGGAAAGAGUUUGAAAACAAGAUCAAAUUCAUUCAACCACAGUAUUCUGAACUGACUUUGAAAAGGAAAGGCAGCGUUGAAACGUAUUUAGUUUCUCUAAUAACCCUGUUUAUUCUUUCUAUUAUAUGCUGUUAUAGUUUCGAUCUAAAUAUCUCCCAACAGCCCCAUGUACUUGAGAGGCAGGACUUUUGGAAGCUGGUUGGAUUACGGGGGUACUAUAGCUUGCUUGCUAUUAGGAGGAAGCCUGGUUAGAGGUGGAUCACUGUGGACAUGACCUGGAAGAGUUUAUCUCCCUCCCUGGCUUCUCUCUGCUCUCUCUGCUUCCUGGCCUCCAUGAAGUGACCAGCUUUCUUCUUCCCAGGCCCUUCAGCCGUGCUGUUUCUGUGUUUAAGCCUGCCAAACAUGCACUGAAACUUAGGAACUGCCAAAACAAGUGUCUCCUCCUUUAAACUGCAAGUUCGGGUAUUUUGUUCCAGCAACAAAGGAAAGUUACUUGCAUUUAAGUUCAGUCUCUUUUCUGUGUUCUUGAGAAUAUAAGAGAUGACCUGCUGCAAACUGAUUUGACUAUGCUACUAAGUGACUUGGCUGUAUUCUUACUGGUUUUAUAUCAGCAAGUUCCUUUAUACAAUACAAGCAAAAGAUAUUGAGUGCUUACUGUUUAUUAUCAGUAAAAGAAUGUGAUGCCUAUUGUUUGAGGGGCAGAUGAAGACAUUGGUCAAGUAUUUAACGCUAAUCUUUUCACCAACUUUUUGUUAUUCCAGGUUCAGAUGAAACCAUAUGUUGUUUACACCUGGUUAUUAGUCAAAACAGGGGAGCUUUGAAAAUUUAAACAGUUGAAAACAAACCCUGUUUGAGAUUUUACUUCCCUGCCCCAAACUUUCUCAUGCUUCUUUGCUGAAGCUUAGCCUUUUACUGGGCUAGGUUCCCAUUUGGCUCUGAAAAUGUUUAACUGGCUUUAGAAAGGCAGGCAAGUUAUGAUUAACCAGGAUGUAUGGCUUCCUGAGUCCUCCAAUAUCUGGGAAGUCCCAAAUAAAUCUUUACUUUAUGUUUUCCAGACCUCUUAUUUUGUCCACUUGUUAGCUUUAGUUCUUUGUGGACUCAUACUGGC